CAACCCUACACAAUAAUCUGUCCACUCUACCUUCUGUAGUCUACACGUAUUCACAGUACGAUACGGGAGCUAUACCAAUGCCAUAGUAUUACACACUUCAAAUUCUAUUGUGAGCGAAGCAUCUGCUUCUCACACUAUCACUUACGUUCCUGUAUUCUUUCCGCUGCACCUGAACUCGGCGACUGUUCCAAUUCAACUGUCUCCUAAUCACACACUGCUCCUUAUUUAUCCUCGGAAUGGACAAGAGCGGACAAUAGAGAACAGUGACGUAAUAGGCGCCGGUGUUUACUUCCAACGUGGUUACCGCGUGUCAGGAAACAUGUCACAUGACUAGCGUUGUUACGUCCGUUUGUGAUGAAGGGGGAGAAGUGUUCACUGCCUGUUACCGGAGCAACGGCAGCGAUCAAAUGCCAACACGUCACCGCAGCGCGGGAGGGGAUGUCAACCAUAACACAUUGUUUCACAGUAUAUAAGUGUAAUCGCCAAGAGGCUUUCUUAUCGAAGAUGGCGUCGAGAUAUUUUACACUAUUUACAGUUUGAACGUUUCGUCCAUUCAGGCGCUCACACCAGGUCACAACUGAGCUGAGACCACGCUGGAGUUUCCUGACAA